rnacentral:rRNA from 1 species
UACAGAGGUGGCAAGCGUUGUUCGGAAUUACUGGGCGUAAAGGGCGUGUAGGCGGUCUUCUAAGUCAGACGUGAAAUCCCCCGGCUUAACCUGGGAACUGCGUCUGAUACUGGGAGGCUUGAGUAUGGGAGAGGGAUGUAGAAUUCCAGGUGUAGCGGUGAAAUGCGUAGAUAUGCGGAGGAACACCGAUGGCGAAGGCAAUCCCCUGGGCCUGAACUGACGCUCAUGCACGAAAGCGUGGGGAGCAAACAGG